AUUGAACGCUGGCGGCAUGCCUUACACAUGCAAGUCGAACGGUAACAGGUCUUCGGAUGCUGACGAGUGGCGAACGGGUGAGUAAUACAUCGGAACGUGCCUAGUAGUGGGGGAUAACUACUCGAAAGAGUGGCUAAUACCGCAUGAGAUCUACGGAUGAAAGCAGGGGAUCGCAAGACCUUGUGCUACUAGAGCGGCCGAUGGCAGAUUAGGUAGUUGGUGGGAUAAAAGCUUACCAAGCCGACGAUCUGUAGCUGGUCUGAGAGGACGAUCAGCCACCCUGGUACUAGGACACGGCCCAGACUCCUACGGGAGGCAGCAGUGGGGAAUUUUGGACAAUGGGCGAAAGCCUGAUCCAGCAAUGCCGCGUGCAGGAUGAAGGCCUUCGGGUUGUAAACUGCUUUUGUACGGAACGAAAAGCCCCGGGUUAAUACCCUGGGGUCAUGACGGUACCGUAAGAAUAAGCACCGGCUAACUACGUGCCAGCAGCCGCGGUAA
rnacentral:rRNA from 1 species